rnacentral:lncRNA from 1 species
GCAAGUGUUUGCUCAAGUUUUCUAGAUGAGCGAUUAUGUCUUUUUUUUUUUUUUUUUUUUUUUUUUUUGCGUGCAGGAUUUGUCAACCCAUGUACCCUGCUUGCUGUGGCCACUUGUCUUUCUUCAGCGGUAUCCUGUCUCUGUUCCUGGAAGCUCUGUUGAUAGGUGACAGUAAGCAGAUGUCUGGCCACAGGAGAGGCUACAUGUGCCUCUGAGCGGAGCCCGAGAGGAUUCCCAAGAUGCAGGAAGGACGGGACAUCUGGAGAUGGGGUAUUAUCAGUGGUAGAGGGGGAAGGGACUAGGAUCAUAGGCCCCAGGGACUUGAGGGAGGGGACUGUGGUAGGAGAAGCUGAGCGAGAGGCACAGGCAUUGAGAAAGAGGAAGUGUCAACACAGCGCACUGUCCUACAAACCAAAAACAGGGCUUCCUCCCGCAUGGUACACGGAAGUGAGGCCACAACCGCGACGAUGGCCCUGGCUCUGCAGGGAGAUAAGGGUGUUUACCCCCACCUUGGGGAGCAGGGAGGGGAAGGCUGGGGAGAGACAGCACAGUCAGAAAAGGGCAGGCAAUGGUGCUCUCAUCUGCAUGCAGAACAGGCAGGUGGUAGAGCUCCGGCACAGGUCAGGCUGUGGGAGUGGAGGGUUCCGGGUAUGGAGUAGUUCUGUAGCCUCUCC